CCUACGGGUGGCAGCAGUAGGGAAUAUUGCUCAAUGGGGGAAACCCUGAUGCAGCAACGCCGCGUGGAGGAUGAAGGAUUUCGGAUUGUAAACUCCUUUUGUCAGAGAAGAUAAUGACGGUAUCUAACGAAUAAGCACCGGCUAACUACGUGCCAGCAGCCGCGGUAAUACGGAGGGUGCAAGCGUUACUCGGAUUCACUGGGCGUAAAGGGCGCGUAGGCGGGAUAGCAAGUCAGAUGUGAAAUGCCAUGGCUUAACCAUAGAACUGCAUUUGAAACUGGUAUUCUAGAGUAUGGGAGGGGCAAGUGGAAUUCUUGGUGUAGCGGUAAAAUCCGUAGAUAUUAAGAGGAAUACUCAUUGCGAAGGCGACCUGCUAGAACAUAACUGACGCUGAUGCGCGAAAGCGUGGGGAGCAAACAGGAUUAGAUACCCCUGUAGUC
rnacentral:rRNA from 1 species